CUUGAAUUGGGGGAGUAUGUGAGUGAUAGUCAACUUUAAAGACCACGCAAUAGCACGUAUCUAGUAGGAUAGUGAUUACGGAUAUCGAUCCACAGGGAUUGGGGUACAGUUAUUUUCUUAAAAAUAAUUGAAAAAGGAAAUUUGUGAAGACUAUUAAACUAAGCAAUUUAAUAAGAAAUGCAAUUAAAAUGAUAUCAGUUUGGAGAAACCUAGGGCAAGGAAUUCACCACUAACAUCGGAAUAAGGGUUAAUUGUAUUUUUAAUUUAUUCUUGGAUUAUUAUGCAAAUUGGCUACAAGCCUAAUAAGCAUUCGAAUAAAAUUUUACAAAAGUAAUUUAGAUAUAAUCUAUCUUUAGUUAGCAUGAAAUGUUUACCCUAAUCUUGUUUGGAACCCGCCCAUGCCGCAGAAAAUUCAAAAAAAUUCAGAUAGCAGCGGAAUCAGCAUAAGCGGGAUCGAUGUU
rnacentral:lncRNA from 1 species